GGUAAAUAAAGUACAAAAGAUAACUGAAAAACAGUUGUGAAGACCUUUUGCUGCCAAACCUUCAAAUAAUACAAAGUAUUUCCUUUAUCACCAUCCACUUCCCUCUUAUUUUUUAUUUUAGUUAGUUCUCUUUAUACCUAGUAAUUGACAUUUAUAAUAACAUAAGAUCUGACUAAAAUGUAUGCUACUAUAUAAUUUUAAUACCAUAUGCUUAUUAAGUAUUAGAGCAGUUCAGUUAUGAAGCUGGUGUUUUAGCAAUUCCAACUGAUGUUUAAACAGGAGAACGUUUUUUAAACAGGAAUUAUGUUCCACACUGUAUGCUACUUGUAUUCUCUAAACAUAAAGGAGUUACUUGGUAGUAAUGACACUCCUGCCACUGAUGAUAACACCAUAUAUUUGCAUAGAGCGUUCUAGUUUACAAAUAUUGACUUGCCCAGUGUUGCUCACAGGUCAGACUCUUUAGACACAGAUCUGAUUCUAAGGCUACAAGGUUAUAGCUCAUUUAAGGUUUUUUUGCUAUUGCCCACUGAACUGUGCUGUUCUUGCCGGAAUCAAUCAUUUCCUUCACAGAUAAACCGUGCAGGUAACCUCUAUAAGCAUGAUGGAAACCUAUGACAAGGAAGAUCAUGAACAAAGAGUAUGAGUGAAGAUGUGCAUGUUGAUCUAAGCAGGGGGUGAGGUAAUCAGUAGGUGUGGAAAAGAUGGAAACCAGGCAAGUUUUUAAUAAAUAUGAUCUUAUCAUUUUGUUAAUUAUAACAAAAUAAGCAAUGUAGAGAGAACUGGGCUGAAUAAGAACAAGGCAGAAAAUACUCAAGCAUGGAUUAUAUUAGUAGGCAGUAGUCAAAUACACAUUUUCCUUCAUCCCUGCUCUCCUAAGAUAACCCAGAAAGGAGUGGUCAUAUACUUUGGAGGAUAGCCAUAUAGAUACUUAUCAGUGGCCUGUGAUUCUUUCCUCCAGCCCCAUUCUUCCUAGAUGAUUGGAAAAACACUUAAGGGAGCAUUAAGAGGCUCUGAUUGCUACUCAGUGAUAUACGUCAGUCUGAGAGGACAGGGCCUAGGUAAAAAAGACUUGUAACGAUGAUUCACAAUGACCCUUACUGUCACUUCAUGUAAGUUAUAGAGGGCUCAGGUAUACCAGGCUGGCAACUGAUGGAUAAACGGCAUUAUGCUAAAAUACAAUUUUGGAUUUCAUAUUAAAGUAUCUCUAGAUACCCAGGAAUACCUUAGAGGAGGAAUGGCUUCUGACCAGGGCUGGGACCUACUCUUAGUUGUUAGUGUCCUUAUGAUAGUUGCAAACCAGAAAGGAGUCAGGUUUUCUUGAGUGUGGAAACUCCUAGAGGGAAAACUGAACGAAGAGUCGAUGACAAGCCAAUACACCCAUUUUUAAUGCUCAAGAAGUAAACUAGCCAGGCACAAUGGCAUGUGCCUAUAAUCCCAGCUACUUGGCAGGCUGAGGGAGGAGGUUCCCUUGGGUCCAGGUGUCCCAGACCAGCUUGGGCAACAUUUGGAGACUUCUGUCUCAACAAGAACAACAAAGUCAACUAGCUAAAUUGGAUGUAAUGACUAACAGUAAAGCAUCCAUCUUGUUUGAUUAACAAAAGAGAUCUUUAACGAAAAGGUUUUAAGAACAUUUUCGCAAAGAGGAAAUGACAGCUCUCCAGCGUAUAGGAUAUUCAAUAAAGGAUGUAAGAGAACUGUUUAUCCAUUUGAAAAUUAAAGUUAUAUAUCCAUGUCGUACCACAUGCAAAACACAGCUGCCAGCUAAAUAUUUAAUGUUUAAAGUAUUUUAAAAAUCAAGAAAAUAUAAGCAAGUAUUUAUAUAACCUAGGGGAUGAAAACCUUUCUAAGCAUGACACCAAGGAAGAAACCAAAGAUAAGAAGAUGGAUUUGGCAAUAAAAAGAAAACUUAGAGGUGGCAAAAACACUAAGCAGUAAAAUGAGAAAAUACAUUUGCAACAUACUUUCUCUUUAAUUUGAAGGGCUAAUUUUCUCAAUAUAAAGAAUUUUUAGAAAUUAGUAAGAAAUUCCAACAUCCAACAGAAAUAUAGGUUAAGGAAAAAUAUAAUUUACUAAAGGAAUGUAUCGCUAAAUACAUUUAAAAAGCUCAGCAGUAAUAACACAAAUGAUACUGAUUUUUUACCUAUUAUUAAAAAUACUGCAACUUAUGGUGUCAACAUUGUCAUAUUAAAAAAAAAAAACAACAAACACAGGCCGGGUGCAGUGGCUCAUGCCUGUAAUCCUGGCACUUUGGGAGGCCGAGGCAGGUGGAUCACCUGAGGUCAGGAGUUCUAGACUACCCUGGCCAACAUGGUGAAACCCUGUUUCUACUAAAAAUACAAAAAUUAGCUGGGCAUGGUGGUGCACGCCUGUAAUGCCAGCUACUUGGGUGGCUGAGGCAGGAGAAUCACUUGAAUCCGGGAGGCAG
rnacentral:lncRNA from 1 species